UUUUUUUUAAUUUUGAGAUGGAAUCUCACCCUGUCACCCAGGCGGGAGUGCAGUGGCACAAUCUCAGCUCACUGCAACCUCCGCCUCCUGGGUUCAAGUGAUUCUCCUGCCUUAGCCUCCUGAGUAGCUGGGAUUACAGGCGUGCUCCACUGCAUCUGGCUAAUUUCUGCAUUUUUAGUAGAGAUGGGGUCUCACCACAUUGGCUAGGCUGUUCUCGAACUCCUGGCCUCAGGUGAUCUGCCCGCCUCGGUCUCCCAAAGUGCUGGGAUUACAGGCGUGAGCCACUGUGCCCAGCCACAAUUGAAAGUUUUUGUUUUUGUUUUUGUUUUUUUGAGAUGGAGUUUCACUCUCGUCACCCAGGCUGGAGUGCAAUGGCGCGAUCUUGGCUCACCACAAUCUCUGCCUCCCUGGUUCAAGCGAUUCUCCUUCCUCAGCCUCCCAAGUAGCUGGGAUUACAGGCAUGCACCACCACGCCGGGCUAAUUUUGUAUUUUUAGUAGAGAUGGUGUUUCACCACGUUGGUCAAGCUGGUCUUGAACUCCUGACCUCAGGUGAUCCGCCUGCCUCGGCCUCCCGAAGUGCUGGGACUACAGGCGUGAGCCACCGCGCCCGGCCCCAGUUGAAUGGUCUUAAUGGCUCUUUUUGCAAUUCUAGAACCAGGCACAGAUCAUUCUAUAAAACAGAACGAGGGCUCUGGCGUGCUGGGUAGAGGAGGUUGGUUUUGUAGACAGAAAGGGGCUGAGGAAGCAGACACAGAACAAAAAGCAGAUCGGUCAUUUCCAAGAGGUUUUCCUUGGAAGGUUCCAGCAGAGGGGACUUCCUCAUCAUGCCGGCAAGACCUGGCUUGUUUGGGGCUAUUCUCUGUCUCCUGGUUUCCUGGAAGGUGAGAUGAACAAGUUAGUUUUGGCUUGAUGACGUGGAGCUCUAGCACGAGUGGCUGCGUUUUGGUCUGUUCUGCCAGGCCUCCUGCAGGAGCUCAGGCCAGACCAGUGGCCUCCUACGAAUUUUAUCAAACGCGACUCAGACGAUGCCGUUCAGGCAAGGUUGAGAACCAAGCCCAGCACUGCCUGGUCCAGCCCCUGGGAAGGAAGGCAGGGCCGGGAGCCCCUCCUGCCGCCAGCAGCGACCCUGUCUCGGAAGGUUGUCUUUUCAGGGACGCUUGUACAGCAGACAGCCUUGGAAGAAAGAGAGAGAGUCUCACUCAGGAGCUCAGGACAGGGUGGAGCUGUGAGGAAUCUGGGCUGACUGCAGGGUCCCACCUGCCAGGAACAAGAACAGCUCCUUCCCGAGGCCCGGUCGUCACUGUUUCCUGAUCACCCGAAAGUGAACACCCAAAGCAUGCAAGGAACACCUUUUGUUCCCAACAGGCCUGGAAAGAGCCCUGCCCGGCCUGCUGGGGAGGCGAGCUGUUCCUGCAACAGCUUGUAAGCAAAGCGUCUCAGUAAAACAAAAGCUCACUUCAUAUAGCUUCCCGUGUGGACAGCUACAUCUUUGUUUGGUUCGUUUGUUUGUUUGGUUGAUUGGUUUUGAGAUAGGGUCUUGCUGUGUUGCCCAGGCUGGAAUGCAGUGGUGUGAUCAGAGUUCACUGUAGCCUCCAACUCCUGGGCUCAAGUGAUCCUCCCACCUCAGCUUUCCGAGUUAGCUGGGGCCACAGGCACAUGCCACCAAGCCCAGCUAAUUUUUAUAAUUUUUAGUAGAGAUGGGAGUCUCACUACAUUGCCCAGGCUGGUUUCAAAUUCCUGGCCUCAAGCAAUCCUCCCACCUCGCUGGGCCUCCCGAAGUGCUGGGAUUACAGGCAGGAGCCACCACACCGGGCCUGUAGCUGCAUCUUUGAAGAACAAGCAUUCCUGCCUUUCAUCAGCCUCUGCCUCGAGCCCUGCCUUGGUGGGACCUGCAGGGAACCCCCGCCCAGAGACACCAGCCUGCAGAGCUGCACACCAGGAGUCUCCAGGUGUUUUGCACCAGACACUCCAUUUAUUUAUUUAUUUAUUUAUUUAUUUAUUUAUUUAUUUAUUUAUGACAGAGUUUUGCUCUU
rnacentral:lncRNA from 1 species